rnacentral:rRNA from 1 species
GAUGAACGCUAGCGGCGGGCUUAAUACAUGCAAGUCAAGGGGUAGCAAUACACCGGCGUACGGGUGCGUAACGCGUAUGGAACCUGCCCUUAUCUGGGGGAUAACUCGGGGAAACUCGAGCUAAUACCGCAUAAGAUAGUAGAAUGGCAUCAUUCAGCUAUUAAAGAUUUAUCGGAUAAGGAUGGCCAUGCGUAAGAUUAGAUAGUUGGUGGGGUAACGGCUCACCAAGUCUACGAUCUUUAGGGGCUCUGAGAGGAGAAUCCCCCACACUGGCACUGAGAUACGGGCCAGACUCCUACGGGAGGCAGCAGUAGGGAAUACUGGGCAAUGGGCGGAAGCCUGACCCAGCCACGCCGCGUGCAGGAAGAAGGCCCUCUGGGUUGUAAACUGCUUUUGAUUGGGAAGAAAGCAUCUCAUGCGUGGGAUUUUGACGGUACUGUAUGAAUAAGCACCGGCUAACUCCGUGCCAGCCGCCGCGGUAAGAC